GGAGGGAGGUGCAGAUUUGCACGGCUGGCCUCAGCGGGAGGCGCGGAAAUGCAAGCCGAGCCUGCUGGAGUGAAAGCCCCCGGGGCCUGGCACCCCCGAAAACGACCUCCCACCUUAAUCCCUGCCCCCAUCGCCCACGGCCCCCAUGGGCGACCCCUCUUCUUCCUCUUCCUUCAUUUACCCCACCUCGUUACCUACGUGGCUGACCCAAAUUCAAAGCAUUUUGUGUAUAUAUAAUUUUUUUUUUUCUUUUCUGCUAUGUCUUUUUUUGGGGGGGUGGCGGGGGUGGGGGGAGAAAUCCUCUCUAGAGCCGUAAGCGGAUCUGCCACACGGAGGAAGCAUUUGGGGGCUCAGGAAGAAAUUAGCGCAGCUCCAUACCUGUACGGACUACAUAACUUUUAAACUACUGGACUCAAAGGAUCCACAUACACACAGGUACAGGAAAUACAGUCAGACCAAAGCCUUUUCAGACCCAAGCUGACCGGAAGACGUUGCCUUUCAUUCAUUCAUUCUGCCCGCGUCUGUGGAGUCCUUUACUAGGCGAGAAGCCCUAGAAGAGAAGUUGGACGUUUUUUAAAGGUCCCUGCGCUCUCCAAGAAGAGGAAAUAGAUGCUCAGGAGUGAACUACCGAGAGAAUCGGAUCUGGCGCCUCCUAACGCAGCUGGCAAACAUGCGAAGGGAAAAAAAAGACCAGGCCAGUUGUAUUUGAAACAAAAUAAUAAUGACUUUUGGACCUUCUUGCUCAUUCUUACAAAAGGCCCAGUCAGAUCCUGGCUGUGUUGGCCCCAUUCAUUCAUUUCUUCAUUCAUCAAAGGUUGAUUGAGCAGCUCUGUGCUCUAAAGACUUCGAGGAUGGAAAAAUCAGCUCCGAUUGUAGCCUCUUCCUCCAGACGGGGCAAGAAGUGGGCUGCCAGCUUCCCAAACAAGUCAGGAAGGACUGAUGCUGGAUGGAACCCCCAGAAUCUAGGAUUUUUCACACUGUUAGAAACUGAAGCUGUCAUAUUCAUGUAUCAUUAUAAUAGCUCCUGAUUUUUGAGAGCUUACUCUGUCUUUGAGCAAAAGCUCUCACAUUUUGCUAUCUCUUGAAAUCCUCAUCAAAGUUCUCUGAGAGAGGGUCUGUAAUUGCCCAUUUUUACAGCUGAGGCUCAAAAAGAGGUCAAGUCACUUGCCCACAAUUUAGGGCUGCGAAAUAGCAAAGACGGGUUUUGAAUCCUGGGCUGGUAGGAAUCCAGAGCCCAGAGGCUUCUGUCUGUCUAGUCUUUCCUGCAGGGCAGUCCCACAGAACACGAAGAUGGAAAUGUUCUAUGUCUGUGCUAACAGAGGAGCCUCUAGCCACAUGUGGCUGUUGAGCACUGUCCAAGAAUUAUUUAAUCAGUUCCCCAAAUUUCAGAAUGAAAUGUGAAUAGUGGGAUUAAGGAACUAAAUGCUGAAUUUUAUUUAAUUUUAAUUAAAUUUAAAUACCUAUAUAUAGUAUCUCCCUUACUGGACAGUGCAACCUUAGAGUACAAUCCAGAAUUUGUCUUGAGGGGAGGUGAUCAGGGAUAUCUACAAAGGUUUUCUAGAAGGAGCCAUCUGUGCAACAUGAAUGGAGUGUUAGCACUUAAACCACCCACUCUGUGUGCCUGCUAAGAGCAUGGCACCAGAGGCCGCUGGGGAUGCCAGCAUGAUAUAAAAUUGUCCCACCUGCCCAGAUCUGACAAAUAAACUUCUCAGGUACAGAUGAUUGGUGACAGCAGGAAGCCUUAGAAAUGGAUGACUACUUCCUGAUAUAUAUCCGACAGUCAGACUCAAACACAAAGAUGCGAUGCAUUGUAGCCCUAUGCAAAAUAGAUUUGGGAGAAGAUUAAAAAUGAUCUGAAAGCUGGGGAACUGAUUAAAUAAUUCUUGUAUAGUUUGUAUGCCCAAGGAAAUGCUAUCAAAUCAUUAAAAAGAACAAGGUAGCUAUAUAUAUAUAUAUAUGUAUAUAUAUGCAUACAUAUAUAUUAUGUAUAUAGGGCUUCCUGGCUCAGUGAUUAAGAAUGCAAGAGAUGAGGGUUCUAUCCCUGUGUUGGGAAGAACCCCUGGAGAAGGAAAUGACAACCAACUUCAGUAUUUUUGCCUGGGAAAUCUCAUGGACAGAGGAGCCUGGCGGGCUAUAGUCCAUGGGGUCCCAAAAAGAGCUGGACAUGAUUUAGCAACCAAACAAUAACAAACUAUAGAUACUGAUGUAAAAUGAUUUCAUGAUAUCCUUACAUUAAAACAAAACAAGGUGCAGAAUAAUACCAAACUGUGAUGACCGCUUAUGUAAACCAAAGAGAAUAUAUCUAUAUCUACAGUUUUUUAUAUGUGCAAAAUUUUCUUUGGAAAGAAAUACAACUUUUAAAUGGGGGAAAGAACUGGAAAAGACAAAAAUACUUUUUCUUUGGUACAGUGUGAUAUCUUUACCAUAUAUAAGUGUUAGUGUUGCCUGAUUUUGAACCUUAUAGAUUUCAUUUUAUAUGUUGUGUUAUCUUUUGAAUUUUAUACUAUGCAUAGUAUAAAAUUGUAUUACCUACUCAAAAUUGAAUUUCAUUUUAUUUGUGAUUUUUGAGCCUAUGAGUUUCAAAAUCAGGCAAAUCUAAACCAAAUAAAUAUUAUUUAGUUAUACAUACAUAAGUGGUAAAGCAUAAAUAAAAGCAAAGGCAUGAUUAACAGAAAAAGCCGGAAGAAAGUCGCUCUGGGCUAGGGAAUGUGAAGAGUGAAAGGUACUAGUGAUUUUCUGUUUCUUAAUCUAGGUGGAGGACACCUGAUAAAUUCUACUGUGUUUAUGAAAGGUUCCACUCUUUAAAAAUUGUUUUAAAAUUGCUUUCUUCCUCUCCCACUCCUAGUUUCUCCUCUCCACACUCCCAUCCCCAGAAAACUUAGCAAGUCUCUUGGGCAUCCUCCCAGAAAUGGUUUAUGCUGUUACAAAACCUCUACAUAUAUUUUCUUUUAUUAUUGUGUCACACAAAUAUACACCCUGUCCUUCCCCUUCCUUUUUCAUUUAAUCUAAUCUUGGAGUUCUUUCCAUAUACUAUCUGUAGAACUGCCUCAUUCUAAAAUAUUACUUUAAGGAUGAGAUAAAUCUGAAUCACAUGAUACAGAAAAAUUCAAGAUUGGUUAAGAAACAUAAGUCACAGAAUAACCUGUAAUGAUCCCAUUUAUGUUAAAACAAACUAUAAUGUAUAGACAUGCAAGAGAAAGAAAGAAAAAGGCUUGAAUAGAACAACAAACCAUUCAUUGUUUGAUCACUUCUGAGGAGAGGACAAAGUUUUGAGCGGGUUAUAUAGAGUCUAUACUUAAUUAUUUGCAUUUUUAACAACCAUUGUGCCCUGUUAAAUUUAUCAGAUAUUUCGAACAUAAAGGCAUAGAAAAUAAAUGUAAAUAAAUAUAGGAAGAACUUGUAUAUCUAGCAUCUCUGUUUGCCAAUCCAAACCCUAGAGUUUUGUCAUAUUUUGGGUCACUUUUGCAAUUUAAUAAAUACUCUGGGACAACAGACCACACUAUUACAGUUAAAGUGAUUGUAGUUCCCAGAGACUUGUGUUUGUUUGGGUUUUUGUUUGGCUCCUCAGUCCUUGUGGAUUGCAAUAUCUGAGUAAGAAAAACCAUGGCCAAAUUACACAUGGCCUGAGUGUCAGGCUUUGAUCCUUUGAGGAAAACAGGUUUGUGCCUAGAGUUCUACAUAUUAUAAUAUGUCUUCCUUCCUGAAGGUUGGAAGGAAACUUGGAAAUAACAGGUGAGUUAAUCAAGGGGUUAACUCCAGG
ensembl:lncRNA